GACCGGGGCUGGGCAGCCUCGGGGCCGCUCCAGCGCUGCCGCCCAUGGCAGGACGGGACGUUUCGGGAAUUUGGAAACCCUCCUGGCCCGGCUGGGAUCGGCUGCUGGCGGGGAAGGGGGAGCUGGGGGCCGCUGGCUUCAGCGGGUUUCGCUUCUGCAAAUCCACACCUGUAGGUUUUGCUGAGAACACGAGUAUGGCAAAUUUGGAGUAAAAUAGUAAUAAUUUUGUUUAUCAUAACCGUGACCACUCUGUGCUCAGCCUGGAACUCUGCUCCAGCCAGUGUGACACAGCGACAGAAGAUGAGAACAGAGAGCCCAGCAGGGAUCUCAGCUGUAACCUUUGAUCAUACCUGGAUGCAGCACAACCAUGUACAGCCCUUCUGCAGCUGACAGCAGCUCUGUGCUGGGCUCAGUGCCUACAAAGUUAUUUGGGUCCUGCCCACACAGCAUCACCUGUGCUGGAGGACAGCUGAGCCAUCUCCUUCUGCACCCUUCAGUCCUGGCAGGAGAGUGUCUGGGGAAACCUAUGGAGCUGCAGCUCAAGCUGCUGAAUUUCUGGACAGCACCUUCUGCUGACUGUAUAAACAGCCCUAUGCUGUGUAUUUUCUGAAUGCUUGAGUAGGCUGUUUGAACGUUAUUUUAACAUGGGGCUUUUUUUGUUUUUUCUCCUUAAUGGAGUAUUUAUUAUACACUCCUGCAUCUAUUGUGCCUUUAGUUCCACUGUUCUCUGGUGUACAGUGCAUGUUUACUUGUCUUUGUUUGAAAUAAUCUAUAAAUAAAUUAGGCAACGUGCACUGUCAAACAGUAGUGCUCUGUGGUUUGCAAUCCUUGCAAAUUGUGCCAAAUCCCAUUAUUGAGCUAGAAACCUAUAGCUGCUCCUUUUGUCUCCUUUCUGUUGCACAACCAGGAACCUGUUCAGUGAUACUGUUGGAUGUCAGAGAUGUGGAAGAUGUUCAAGGCCAGAGGGUGCUGAGCUUAAUAUUCACUCCUGAGUGUUGCAGAGAAAACAUGUCAAAAAGCAUUUCGUGGGUGGAAAAUGCCUUAUUCUUUGAAACAGAAUGUUUGACAGGACAGGUUGGUUUGAGAGAAGUUAUUUAGAAGACAAACAGGUGUGAAAAGCACCUGCAGGCCUUAGGAUUUCAGUGUUCAAAAUUCAGAGCUCCAAUAGACAAGAGUUACAAGGUUUUUUGUCACUGCUCUGUGGUGCUGGAAGUCUUUCAGGCUCAGCUGAGCCCACUCCUGGGGGACAGCAGGAAACAAUGAGACUCUUAGGUUCAGCCUUUGGACAUUCUCAGACCUCCUGAGCCUCCUGGAAGUGCUGACCUCCAGGGUGGCUACAUCAGCACAAAUUGGCUCUGUAGGUGGGUUGGAUUUCUUAGAUUACAUGUCAGGUUGACAAAAUAAAGUCAAGUCAAUAAGGAGGCCUGAGGCUUAAACUAAAAUGUUGCUUUACAGUCCUGAAAUGAAAAUGCCCUUAUUGCAAUACAGACUGGAAGCAAUGAUGGUCUUCAAAGCACCUUAUCCUCUCACCAUGCUAGGCUCCCUCCUCCUGCAGUAUCUCUGGAGAGGAGGUGUCCAUGCUCUGCAAACAAAACUGUUUAGCAGGUUCAUUCAGUCCUGCUAGGUUGCGUUGGAUUUAUUCUGUGAUUGAGGUUUUAAUCUCAGAAAGGUGGGCUGUAGUUGUCCCAAAAGAUCUCCUAUUCAAUGACACUGAAAAGAUAUCUUCCUAUGAUAAGCUGAAAUAAAACAUAAUGAGCCAAAAAUUACUUUCAUGUUAUCUGUAUUUCUGAAGAAAUCUCAGAGAAAAUAUGUCAUCAACCACCUUUAUAAUAGGGCAUCACAUAAUCAUUGUCUGUGAAUGUCUUAAUAUAAUAAAUCAUCAGUGGAAAGCAAACAGUGCAUUGUCCACCUUCAUUUUCUGUCUUCUGGAGCUCUAAGAGAAUUAAAUAAACAUUUAUUAAAUGCUCCUAUGAGAAAAUUAUUCAAAUAAGAUGAGUGGCUUGUCCCACAGAAACAGGAUGGAUAUUAUAGGGCAAAAAAUAGCUUUGUGUGUCCUGCACUGUGUCGUAAAACCAGAAUUAAUUGCACCAGCUAUUUCAAAACCUUGAUAUAACUUAAACUCUAUUCAGAAUAUUUCUAUUCUUUGCCCACUGCAUUCUCCAAAUAAGCAUCUUAGUUUCAAAUGUAUUUUCAGAUUGUAAAUAGUGGCAUGAGAUGAUGAAAAUGCAGGUUUUCCCCCUAAAUAAAUGGUUCAAUGAAAUAUGCCCUAAGGUCACUGAGUUGCUUGAAGAGUUACUGGGUUGUGCCUUGAUCUGCAGCAGCUGCUACAGUUAAACAUGCUGUAUCAUGAUGUCUGGGAUCUUAGCAAUGGGGAUAAAGCCAGGCAAGUGAUAAUAGAAGUAUCUGUAAAUAAAAACAGACUGGCGGAGGUAGGGUCACUGCAAACAGAAGCAAUGCAUGCUGUUCAGCUGAGCAAAUAUCUGUCACACAAUGCAGCUGACACGAGACUAGCCAUAAUUAAUGGGAUUAAUAAGGUAAUCCAACUGUUAAAAUAUAAAAUGGUUAAUUCCUGUGACAUCUGAAUUUGGAUUAACCUGUGAAUAGUUGUUAAUUUUAGAAAAAAAUCUUCCAUAACAGUGCAGAGUGUUUAGGGUAACUCACCAAAACAAGCAUUUACUAGUAAAUAAAAAUAAACAAAAGCAAUAUUAAUUUUCUUUAUGCUUCCCCAGUGUCAAUAUUAAACAUUUUCUAUUGUUCUGACAUCUGGGCCAUUAAAUGGAUAAAGAUAAUAGGGACUGGAAAAAUGGCCAGCCAAGCUACCCAUGAAGUUUGGGUAUUAUGAAAUACUGAUUACAACUAUGAUGUCUGAAUUUGAAUUUGUAAUCCAGCCUCUGGAGGUAAAAAAAAAAAAAAAUCCAACCCAACAGUGACAAAAAACAUUCCCUUAAAAAAAAACAAUUUCUCCGGAAACUCAGUCAAAAACUGACAUAACUGUAUAAGCAAAGAGGAAUUUGUGCAUCCAGUGCUGUAUUCCUCAGUAUCAGCUUUUGGAGCAUAGCAAGUGCAUGUGUUUAGUAAACCAAGCCAGAUAUUUGACUUGGUUGGCACAUGAGGUCAGUUCGCUUUUGCUGCCCUGUGAAGUGUGGGGGAUAAACAGGGCAGCAAUAAGCAAUCGAGUGGAGAGCUGUGUACAUGCAUUUCCCACACAGGACAGAAUGGAUUUCUGCAGGAUGUAAAUGCUCUUCUGACAAUGAGGCUGCUUGAUUUCUUUCUCUCUCUUUACUUCAGGGUCUCUAAAGAGGCUGCUUGGUUUCUUUCUCUCUCUUUACUUCAGGGUCUCUAAAGAAUGCACUAAUUUAUCCUUAUGACCUGUUUUAUGAUUUUACCACCUAUCUUUUCUUUUAUUCCUAUGCAUGUAUAUGUAUGAACAUUUCCUUCAUACAAUGUUACAAGUGCUUUUAGUUCUCUUUGUAUGGAGUCCUCCAAAACUCACAACACUAACGUUCAAGGGCACAAGCUUGAUAACAGCAAAAAGUUACAUCACUUUUGAUUUUUUUUUUUUUACAUCAGUUUCCCAAAUAACUUAUAUUCUCUGUAUGUACCUGAAGUCAAACUAAUCAUUAAGACUAAUUUUAUAAAACAUACAAAGUCUCUUUGCUUCCAUGCAUGGGGGUUUCUAAAAUGUGAAUCACUUCUUUAUCAUGUGGGGGACCGCACACCGGAACAGGUUGUCCAGAGAGGCUGUGAAGCCUCCCUCACCAGAGAUAUUCAAGAACUGUCUGGACACCAUCCUGUGCUGUAUGCUCUGGAAUGACCCUUCUUGAACAGGGAGGUUGGACCAGGUGACCCCUGUGGUGCCUUCCAAUGUGACCCAUUCUGAUUCUGUGAAAGAUUGGAGACCCAAGAGGGCUUGUGUCAUACACCUACAAACAGGAUCUUUUACAGAUACACAGAGAUGUAGGUAAGCAAUCUCACACAGAAUACCAUGUGUGAUGACUGUCAUUUUAGCUUUUCACAAGUCUAAAAUCUAAGAAUUAAGUCUCAGUGUACCAGUUUCAUGCUGUCAGUGCUGCGUCCACAAUAAACACCUUGGUGAAGUAUAAGGGUGACAUUUAAACUGCUUAUUUACACAAGAGAGAUUGUAUGUGGUGUGCAAAAGCAUGAGUUUGCAGUGAAUGAGGCACUCUGUACUAACUCCCAUGGUGCUGCUGGUGAGGGCUGCACAUCCCCACUCCACUUGCAGAAGUGGGGCCUUUGAGGGGACAGCAGGAGAGACAAACCCUAAGAAGGACAGGAAGAAGGAAUAUGCCUUCAAAAAGAAUGCAUCUUCAGAGUCCAUUGGUCCUGCCAGAAUGCCUCUAACACCUGUCAGAGCUGUCACAGUGUCUCCCUGCCUGCACGGGACUCACUGCUAUCCCCAUCUCUCAUCGCAGGGCUGGGGCUGGGGCUGCUCUACAGGGAUCCCUGGUUCCCACUGCCGGAGCUGUAACAGGCCCCACACAGCCUGGGGGAAGGGGUUUUGGUUCCUGGAUGAAAAUGCAGUUGAUUUAAACCUGUUUUGACAAAGCAAAAUGAGUUUGUCGUGAAAGCACAUACAAAAUGUAAUGACAGAGAAGUUAGGUUAAGGGUGGAGCCAGUGCAACAGACUUGCUUGAUUUGACUUGAUCCAAGAGCCCACUGAACAAUCCAGAUGAGAACAUUCCCCCAACCUUCCCCUUUUUUCAUUUUGGGGCUUAGUACAUUCUGCUGCUUUAUCUCUUCUGAAACCAGUAAGCACCAGAUUAGCUUAAAGGGGACCUUUCUUCCCUACCUGUCUGUAAUGGUAUUACUUAUGGCAAAGUCUAAUUUUCUGCUUGUUUCUAAGUUGAGGGAUAUAGAUUAUUGUCUCAGUUCCCUGCAUUUUCAAUAUGUACAUUCAAUUUAAUGUGUAAAAUAAUGACUUAAUUAACUCUUAGUUGCUCUUAUUUUUUAUUUUGCUGGCCUCUCCGAACUUCAGUGCUGUUUUUCCAUGAACUGUUAAUAAUUCAAUUCUGCCUUUAUAAGCUAGUCUUGUGAUACAGGCAAAAAUAUUUUCUCAGAUGCCACAGAUAUGGCUCAUUUUAUGCAAAAUAUCUGUUGUGCUUAUUACACAAUAAGCAAGUACCCGUCCUUGCACAACCUGGUGCUGCCUUCACUAUGAGGAGAGGAGAGCUGGGCACCUCCUUGUUGUGACUCUUCACUAUCAGGACUCAGACUGGCAGCAGGGGAUUGCUGAUUGUCACUGGGAAAGUUGUGGAGCUCUUGAAGACAAGCAGUUAGCUCACAGUAAAUGAGCUCAUGGCACUAUUUGGGGGGUGGCAUCAAUUCACAACUAAAUGAGAGACUUUGAGUUGUCUGGAGGAUAGGGCUGAAGAAGCUGCUUUGGUCAGAGAAAGGGAGCCUUGGCUAGGGACUGGUGGAACUUGUGAAUGAGGUCUGAGAGCCUCAUCCAGGUAAUUAGGUGCUGAAAUCAGACUAUCAUCGCAUGCUGAGCCAUGUGCACCCACCUGGUGUUACACUGACGUGAGCUGCCACCUCACUGAAGGAUGAACAUGUGCAUAAUAUCAUCCCGUUUUGAAAGGAUGUUAACAGAGCUGUAUCUGUUUUGAUUUUUUCUAUUGUCUUGAAUGUUGCAAAAUUAGGAGUGCUUUACUUUUUGAUCAGUUUUUUUAAUAGAUGUUUGCUCCUUGGGUGAAUGACAGGACCUUUUGUUUGCUUACUUCUUUUGUUAAUGGUCUGCUUUGAACCCAUGAUAAUAUACUGCUAACAGAAGAGAAACUGGAAUGUAGGCAGCUGGAAAAGUUGUCUUCCUCACCAAGUACCUGGGCUGUAAAUGACUGCAAACACUUAAUCGUGGUGAGUGCUCUCUCUGUACAGCAGCUGUUCAGAGUGUCAGCACAAGUUGACACUUUGUCAGUAACACUGAGCUAACUAUCGAUGAUAAGAUAAUGCUCUACUGGUCUUCUCUUCAGGAAGAGGUGCAAUGGUACCUCAAGGCACAAAACACAGAGGACAUAACUGUGAGGUAACUGGACAGAAGUUUACUGCUCCAUGUCAUACUGUUACAGAUUCUUAUUUGUAACAAACACUAAUUCAGACUGACCUGAUGGCUGAAAGGUAUCAAAAGAAGAUAAUGACAUAAUUGUAUAAAGUCAUGCUUGUUGUUCUCUAGUCUGGAAAUUUUCAAGAAAGAGAGAGGGAAAAAUGUCUAAGUAAAAAAUGUGACUGAUGUGGAAGAGGACACUUCAGGAAAUAGGUGCACCUCAGGUCUGUAAGCUUACCUACUAUAGUCUGAAGCAUGAAUGCCAGGUAAUGUAAUUUAAUGAAAGGUCUGGCCAAACAAAGGCAGGGCCAGAGUAGUUUGCCUGUGGGAAGCACCACCAUGACGACCUGUUUGAGUAUGUUCAGUUCAGUACUUUAUGUAAAAAAAAUAGCUUGUGCCAUUAUUUUUUUUGCCUUUUUUUUUUCAUUAGAACUUUAAAAAAUACUUUAGAAAUGUUUUUCAGGAUUGUCAUUUGAAACUUGUACUGAUGUGUCUACUGUAAGUUUCUAUUAAAUUGUAGUUGUUCAUCUUUUAAAGACAAGGCAAACAAAGAAUUGGAGGAGAGAGAGUCAGAGACUAAAAGAGGAUGAUAAAUUCAUUCCUGUUUUACAUAUCAUUUUUAAUUUUUCAUUCAAGUUUGAUGUUCACAGAAUGUACUUUCCCUUUGCUUUUUCUUUUGAUUAACCUGUCAGCAUAAUGAUGCUCUUCAUUAGACAUAAGCAUACAUAAAUAUUUAAUUUGAUAGAGAAGUCCGGUUGCCUGCAUUGUCCUGCACUGAAACAAGUCAAAGGAUAUAUCUGUGGGAAAACUUAGAGAGAGCAGAAGCAGCACUGCUGAAAGCAGUGUCCUUACACCUUCUGGUAACAAAGAACUUUUUUCAGAUAGAGAGCACAAGGAGUAGUAAACAGUUUGUUCCUGGAUGUCUUCUGAAAUACUGAAAGGAUUUGCUGGUUUUAUGAACUCCUACACAGCUAAAGCUCUGUCUGUUUCUCAUCUGUACCCGAGAUGCUUUGGUGACACAGUCAGCAUGCUUAUAAAGUGACAUAUGUAUAUGGAGAGAGAUGUGCCACUGUCCCUGACAGAGAAAAUAUGCAGGUGGCAUUUUUUAUUCAGUGUUUGCUCUUGAUGUCUGUUCUUGCUUAUUCUUCCAUUAGCCACUGUUUUCCAGCAUUUGUUCAACCUCCAAGAGCACUGCCUGCCCUGAAACAGUGAACUAAUUGUAAACUAAUUGCAAACUCCAUAUUCCCUCCCCCUUCCUUUAUUAAAUGUGUUUACAUCAGACAGGAAAAUAAGGAAGUAGUUUUUCUGUAGCUUUGAACUUCUGCAGCUACUAUUGGACAUUUGGAUGAUUGGGCACUCGGCACCUCAGAAAAUCCUAUUUCAGGUGUUUAAAGUAAUCUUUUUUUGCUGAGUUGCUUCAAGCUGUGCAUAAGCAGAUAAACUGAGUGCAUAUUUUUCAGUGACACUCGGAAUUAGAAGAUUUAAAUACAGACCAUUUCCACAGCAAGGAAGUCAAAUUCAAAUGUUUUAGAUCCUACAUAUGUGAGCUUUGAAAAACUGUAAAUGUAAGACAUAGAUAAGUAAAACAAAUCUGUCAGGAAAAGAGUCUGUACUAUAUCUUAGUGUUACAUGAAACACAUCAAAGAGUUUCUUGCACUGGGACUUUAACAUCAGUACCUUAACACCAGUAAAUACUCUGCUUUACUAGAAAUCAGCUGUUGAUUUAAUAAUUGUGUGGUGACCUGCUGCCUGCAGCUAGGCCAUUUCCCUUGGCACCACGAAAUGCAGACAUUUAAUGAAUUCCUGAUUCAUUGCUUGGAAUCAUCCUUCCUGUGAUGUCUAUGCCAGACUACCAGAGGAUCCCCAGCUGCCUCACAGCCAUUAAGGCACCUGUGGAGUAGCCAGUGAAUAAGUCAUGUUACCUCUGUUUGAGAUGAGGUAGGCAUGGGAGACAAAGAUGCCUUAAAGGACAUGAUGGAAGACAGAGAAAUUUUUUUGUUGUGUAGCCAAUUGUUCCAUUGGCUCCAGCCCCAACAUUUCAUGAUGAGACUCCUCAUGGUGAACAGGAAAAUGGACUAGGCACAUGGAAUCUCAUGCUGGCCUAUAAUAAUAAAAAUCAUUACCCUGUUGUUUCAUAGUUGAAAAGGGCUCAAAGUAGGAAAAUAACUGACUUCUUUUAGUUUGGAACCUCUGUCCUCUUCCUUGGCACUUUCCUAGAGGUAGGGAUAGGUGACCCUGCUUCCCAGCUUCCAGUACCAACCUGGGCUGAACAGGCAAAGGUUACAUUUCUGUCCCUUCUUUUAUGUAUUGGCUUCCUUGAAACAGCAGGAAGAACACCACAAAGUGUAGCAGAUUCAAUGUUUUGGCAUGAGUAUGGCAGGAGUAUUUUAUUUUAUUUUUCAGUGAGAUUCCACUUAGGUUGUUUUGAAUAUUUUCUUCCUCUCUGCAUUUCUUGAUAGUGGUUAUUUUAAAAUAUUCUUUGAUCGUGCUGCCUUAAUGUUGUUUAUCUAACAGAGAGUAGCCCUUUGUCUCACAAGAGCAGGUUUGCUCCCUCUCUGCCUUGACACAUGCUGCCGAACCCAGCUGAUUUCUUGCUGUGCAGCAGAUCUAUUCCUGGUUUUAUGAGUGGAAGGGCUGUUUGCCUUGUGGAGUCCAGCAGGGCUAAUAGCAUAUUUUUUUCCCCCUGAGCUAUUAUCCCAUUUGAUUACUACCUGCCUUUUUUUACUAUUUUGCAGGCUAUUUACAUGGUCAGCUGGUAAGUGAUAGGUAAGCUUAUUACUAAUUGAAUUCCUUUUUUAGGAGUGCAAUUUGGGAUGGACAGACCCCAUAUUAGGGAACAAAAAUAAUUUCCCAGGAAUAUGUAGGUCCUGACUCACAUCAGUUAUCAGGUUGAACAGCAAACUCCAUGUGCUGUGUAACUUCAUACAAAAUAUUCCCUUCCAAGAAGCAGCACUGUUCUUUAUGGCCGAAGGUUCUGGAAAGAUGAUACAGCCUUGUACAGGGAAGGUACAGCUGAGGUUGUAUAUUCACUCAGCUACUCCUCUGUGUCAAAGCACUCAGUUUCCAGGAGCAGACAGCUAUAAUUUUAACUCUUGACACUUACAAUCAAAACCUCUUUACACAUUUUUUUCCAAGCUCACAAUCAGCUAUGUUUGGUCCCCAUUGCUUCCAUAGAAAAUUUGGGGUAGGAGAGGUACUGAUGAUAGGCUUAAAAAAAAAAAAAAGGUUAAAAAUGGUUAAUCAUUAUCCAGCCACCAACAUUAGAGGCAAACUUUAGAAGCUUCUGAUAAAGACCCAUCUACCCCCACAUUCCCACUGCUGAGGAGGAAGCUUCCUUCACUCAUUCAGAGCAUGGUCAGCAGUGCUUCAGUGGUUAGUUUUCUUUGAUAAACUUUUUGAGUUUUCCUUAAUAAAAUUACUCACUUCAAAUCAGUCAGUUGUUACAAGUUGAUUCACCUUGUUUUUAUGUUUAUACUGUAUUUUCAGAAUGCCCAUUCAGACCUCAACUGCCCUAACCCUUGUAUUCAAAGCUGAAACUUUGAAACAUCCAAGGUUACUCCCAGUACUUUCUCAUAAACCUUUCAUCAGUGAGGAUAAUAACACUGAAGAGUUCCUUGGAGAGUGUAAUAAACAUUAUGAGUGCAGGACUUUUGUUGUAGGAGUCUGACCAAUGUUUUUUUGGCCCAUGUCCUAAAAUCGAAGAUAGCUCACUUUGCUCAUCUUGCCCGCUGUAUUGAGCUGUUGACUACUGAAAAAUAGAAGAAAUCUACUUUAAUAAUUGAAGAUGCUUAUGGGGAGAAAAGAAUAAAAGGGAUAGAAGGAAAAAGAAUAAAAGGCAAAUAAAAAUAGAAAGAAAAGAGAGAAAAAUUCAGAUGGGAGAAGCUCAUGAUUGGGGUAAAUUUAAUUUAAUUUAACUUAAUUUAGUUUCAUUUCGUUUCAUUUAAUUUCAUUUCAUUUCUUUCUUUUUCCCAUCAGAAACAUCUCUGAUAAUAUAAUACCAAAUUAAGAAGCUCAACACCUUCUUUAUUUUGAAAGUUUUUACUCUAUUUCUAAGCAGCAAAUAAUGUCUAGAUGCUAUUUUCAUUAUAUUGGUAUUACUAAUGUUUUAAAUCUAAUUAACAAAAUAAAUACAUCAGGAAAAUGAGAAAGAUAAUAUAGAGUUUCUGUGUACCAGCUCCUUUUUGGAUUGAGACUUAUUCUUUCCAACCUGUCCCAUGUUAAGUAACUAUGUUGUCCAAGAGAAGAGAAAUUGUAUGGAACACUGGUUCUUUUCACAUCAAUGUUUUGCCAUGAAUUUUAAUGGUAGAUUUCUCUUUGCAGUCCCAGGUUUACUGGCUCUCCCAAUGUAUCUUGUGUCAUGUUCUUGUAUGAAAUUUUGUUUUCUGAGGUAAUUCACCAUAAUUUUAAGUGUUAGAGUCUCCAAAGCUUGUUCCUUUGAACUUUACAACUAUUUCUACUUGGUUAGCUUCUUGUAUCACUGAGAAUUGUGCACCAGUGCUGACAAUGCUUCUGUUUUUAAGCCUUGAUUAGUGGUGAUGUAAUUAACAACAGAGAUCGACACAGCUUUGUGAUUAGUCACAGAGUUAUCAGUCCUUGCAGUGAAUGAGGAAGCCUACAUCUCGAACUGGUGUUUCAGGCUCUCUUCAGAUUCAGGGAGACGUCUUCAGAAAUUCAUUAUUCAAACAAUAUUUCAAAAAUUGUUCUUGUGAUCUAACCACUUUCUUAGCAAAACAAAGGAGGAAAAGGGUGUAAAAGCCAACCUAAUCAUCCUAAUUUUGUCUUUUUAAAAAGGAGGGAAUGAAAGUGGAAGUUUUAGUGAUCCAAUCAGAUUCUUUCUGUAAAUGCACACUUUAUGAAAGUAUGAUUUAUGAGCUAUAAUAUAAAUUAAAUAAAGAUAGAACAUAGCUACAUAAUGACCUAAUCCAGCAUCCCUGAGACCAAGAGAAAACAAUUAAGCAUUGUUGCAUUAAUAUGAGUUGAAAAAUAAGUACUGUUAGUAGUAGAAUUGGAAAGGCUACCUUAAAACAGCUGCAAUCAGCUGUUGCAAUGAACUUGCUGGACAAUUUUCUGUCCUUAUCUUUUAAUUGUUCUUUCAACCCUUCCUUCCUUUUCUUUUGCAUUGAGAGAAACAAUGCAAGACAUUUAUUUUCAGGAUUUUGAAGAGAGCUAUUAUUCAUUUAUCCUUAAAGAAAGUGUCAGUACUUUGCACAAUGAGCUCUUGCUCAUUUGCAGAAGAAUUUUAGUCCUGUUGAACUGUUAAACUUUUCACUAUUUUAUGUAUUAAAAACCCAAAUAGAUCUGAUUUUAGUCCUCAAAUAAACAGAAAUAAACAUUUUAGUCCUUGCUAAAAUAUAAACAGCACUGACAGACAUUGACAUUGGAGAGACAAUCCUCUUAUUAGUAUUCAAAUAAAUCAUCUAGCCUUUGGGAGUUCCUGCAUGUGUAGUCUUUAUACAUUCAGUUUGGGUAAUCUCUUUUGUAAAUCAGAACUCAUUUUUGGGUCUUGCUGAGGCUGAAUCCUGUAGUGGUCAACAGGAAAUUUCUCUCCUUGAGACCAAGGUAUGGCUGAGAAUUACAUAAAAGCUCUGUGUACAAAGAAAUACUUCAUGGGAGUUUAAAACCACAGUAAAUAUUUUGUCACCUUGGCCUUGCUUCUUUGGCUCAGUUUUUUUCUAGUCACUACCCCACACUCCCUUUGCAGUUCUUUUGCACAAUGGUGCCAAAAGGGUUCAGAGUGAAUUAAUCUUGUUUGAGGUCUCCAGGCCUUACUGCUGAUGCUCUGCAUACUUGUUUCUCUUCAGAUAGUGUUAAUCUAGGACUGCAGCAUUCUCCUUCUGAGUGAGGGAAAGAAAACUCAAAUUUAUGAUCAAUUCUCUCUUGUAUUUUUAAGAAUAACUGCAUUAUUAUUCUCUGCCCCUUGAAACCUGACUGCUUUUUCAAUAUGACAGCAGGUCUAGGAUUCAAUUUUAGCUUGCUUGCUUUGAUAAUUGAGCAAUUCUCAGGGUAGUUUUCUUUUUACCAGAGAGCUGCUGGAGCUCCGCAGAGCUUCUGCUCCUGAAAGAGGCAGCUUUGACCAUGAAGAUGCAAGAGAUAGCAGGAGAUGGUUAGGCUCCAGAGAAAAACCACAUUGUUCAAAUUUGGCAAUGGUUACCUUUGAUCCUGGUAUGAAUCCUCUGCUAUUGGAGUGCAGUAAAAAGUCUCCACCUGUUCUGAUUUUCUAGCUAGAAAAAUGGAGAUGAAGGUUUGUUGGACUUCUCAUUUGAAGACUCUUGGAAAGUUAUAAUUCAAGGAACUUCCCUCUAGUUAAUGAGGUAUUUUGAAAUUGAACUCCCCAGACCUCUAAGCCAGCUCAUUAAUUUUUAAAUAAGCCAUUAUAAAAGGUCCUAGAAUAACUUAGAGCAAACAAAUUUUAACUUCCCCAAACUUUUCCUCAUAAGUAAAACACAAGAGGUUUUAUAUGCAUGAAGAAUACAAGAAGAGUGCAUAAAAGUAAGUACAGUAUUUUGGACGUAUUUUACAUCUACUCACAGGACACUGUUAGUCCAUCUGUGUCUGAAUGAGUGUUUUGAGGAAAAAUUUGAAAAAGAUCAUUUGGAUUGCUUUGUUAUCAUUCAUGCAGGGGUGAACCAAACCAUAAAAAUUGUAAAAAGCACAUAAGAAAAAUCACUUGAAAAAAGUGCACUUAUGCAAUUCUGCAAAAAGAAGUCAUGUUCUGAAUGAUGCAAGCACUGGAGACAUCUCUUAAUCUUUGACUUUGUGUGCUUAUAAUUUUCUAAUCCCUUCUUCAAAUAGUACAUUAGUUUAAUACCAGCUAGUUACUAUAUCCAAAAAGUUUUGUUUUCUUUCUUAAGAAACUUUAGUUUUUUUGGUUUGGUUCUGUUUUUUUUUUUUUUUUUUUUUUACUAUGGCAAAGAAAACUGUGCAGAACAAUAGGGUACACUUCAUCACUUCAUUGCAUCAAAGCAGUCUCCAUUUUUGCCUCUAGCAUGGUGGCUGCAACUAUGCUGAAGCACUCACAUGCCAUAAGAAAAAGAAAGGAAAAUCUCAUCAGUGACAGCUGUACAGGGAUGAUUUUUCACUCAUUGGAGAGACUGUCAUAACUCACAGUCCUAAGAGAGUGCCUGUUUCUCACUGUCACUGGUGAGAUAAGCUAUAUUUAAUGCUGCAAUAUCAAAGCUGCCAAUUUUACAUUUGCAUUGAGUGCUACAGUUACGAAUUAAAUGCACUGCCUGCCUGGUUUUGGUUUGUGCAGAGUAAACCAAAUUUUGACUUAGUUUACAUUUUUGAUGUAAUUACAUUAGAAGGAAAAAAAAGGCCUACUCAGAAAAAGUUUCAAAGUGUGGGGUUUGGCAUUUUAGGAACAUGAGACAGGUAUGGGUUUAAAUUAUAUGAAUUUAUAUUUUACAAGCAAAGCUGCACUGAAAUAUAUGCAUGAGUGUAUUGAGGUCAGUCAUUUUCUGCAAAUUACUAUAGAGUAUCCUUGGAUAGCUCAGUGCUAAAUUUAAAAGAAAAUCAACAACCCAUCUGCUGUAACUAGUAUUGAAAAAAGGAAUUUUUAUUAUUGGCAAUGGAGAUGAAAUAUAUAUUUGUGACUGUAAGCAAUGGCAGGGUAUGAUUAGAAUAUCCUGGUUGAUUAUCUGUUUGUUUAAAUGAGGAAAAAUGCAUCAAGUUUCUUUCAGGUGGUGGACUAUAUAACAAAGUACUGAUCAGGAUUAAGCAUCACUUCUUAUUCUCUUUAAAGGACUAGUGAAGUAAUUGAAAACACUGGAUAGAGUCUGUUGUACUAAGACAGCAUAAAUCUAAAGUACGGGAGACAAACAUACAAUGGUUACACUUUUUCACUAUCCAUGUGUCCUAUGUCUGAACUAUUUAUUAACUGAAAUGUGAAUGGGCAAUGAAGGGCCAAUUUAUAUGUUACACCAAGAGAUGUAUUAUAACUGCCUUAGACAUUGAUUUCCUUCCUUUGCCUAUUCUUGAUUGGGAUAUACACACAUAGAACAGCAAUAAUGUGGGGUUUCCUUAUCAGAUCUUGGAUAUUUCCCCAGACUGUCUGCAACCAUUAACCUUGCAUAUUAUCUGACUUUAGUGAUUAGUACAAGCCACAUAAAACCGUAUUGAUGGCCUGCCCUGGGUUAGAAUGGUGAGCUGAAUUAUUGGAGGUUAGAUUUUGCUGACUUUGUGAUACAAAUGAUAGUAUUAUGCUAGUCCUGUGAAAUUGCUAAUUUGUCAUUUCUUUCAUGGUGUAGUCAAUGAUGUGGUACUAAUGAAUGAGCCACAUAAUUGUGUGAUACCGAACUGCAGCUUCUUGCCUUCUGUGUCUGUGUUAAGAGGCAGCGAAUGUCAAAUCUCUCUUUGUUCACUCACUAGUUCCUCUUGCAUUUCUGUGCCCUACUGCUAGAUGAUCAGAAACUGUUUCUACUUAAGGUUAUUGCACUUCUGUUCAUAAGCCUAAUUUUGUUUGGUUGUGCCCUUUACUUUUAUGAGAGGCUUUUGGUAGGAUUCUGUCACUUCCUUAUUCGUGUGGUUCAGCAGCGAGAGGUGCGCGCUGCAUCUGCGUGAACUUCAGCCAAUGAAGUCCUGAAACGCUCCAGGAUCUUAUGGUUGCUGCCAUUCUGAGAUCCCCUCAAGAAGUUUUUUUUCAGUGUACAUUUCAGAGACCAUCCAGCAAAGUGUGCCUCCAAAAGGACUUGGAAGAUAAACUGAAGUGGGUGAAAUGGGUCAGUGUUUCAAACAUUUUUUUUUUUGUCUACUGUUCUAUUUUUCAUUAAGUACAAGGAGACAUAACUGAACCAGAUGAACAUAUCUCAGUGCUCAAGGAAAAUCCUUUCCAUCCUUAUGAUUAAUUUGGUUUUCCUUCUAUUUUUUUAUUCCCUUCUUCUUUAUCUCUAAAAAUUUUAUUACAAAGAAAAAUGAGGAUCAGGGUAGAAAGGGGAAAAUAAGGAAAAAAAGCCCCACAUACAAAAGGGGACUAAGUACUUUGUUUUAAUUGAUAAAACAGGGUUCAUAAGUACAAUUCCAGCUUGUGUUAUUAAAUGCUUUCUAAUGCUUACAAAAUCAUAUAAUGUUUUAUGUUGGAAGGGACAUAAAAAAUUAUCUAGGUCCAAGGCAUUGAUGAAAUAACUGUACUGAUACAUCUUUUUUUUCCAGCUGGCAUCAAAAAGCAGUUGGGUCAGACCUUUAGUUUACUUGUGCCAUUGUGGAUGUCCCUAGUAGACUGAAGUGAGGCACCUUCUCCUGCAGUGAGGGCUGUGGGGCAACACCAGCUCUGGCACUGCUGCCCUCAGGAGCAUUAUGACAGUCCCGUGCCAUCUGGUGUUGUACCUAAAAUUCUAGCUUCAGAAAACAAAGUAAAUAUUGGAGAGUCUCAGCCUGCAUUAAAAUAAGACAGAAAGAUGGAUAUAGAAAAGGGAACAGAUUUGUUGUGAGGAAAAAAAAGAAAAGUAAUCAUGUUUGGUUGAGGAAUUUGAAAAACAGACCCAAGUGAAUAUUGAAGGCUUUGAAACCAAAAAGAGUGUGCAGUCGAGAUAGAGCUGAGAGUUUACAUUAUUAUAAAUAUUUUAAAAUUUGGUUUAUGCUAUUUAGAUUUAUGCUUGUAGUAGGCUGUGUUGAUGAAUUUAACAGAUUUGAAGUUCUAGAAUCUACUUUAGUGCUGCAUGGUUUGGUGUGAUGUUAGUCUAUUAUCACUGAGUUCAAAACAAUGGACGCCUCCCCUAGCUGGUCUGAGAAUUUUAAUCUUGAGUAAGUAACUUUGGAAAUCAGGUUUUUAGCCUUUUUAAUGUAAAAUAGAAAUAUCAACAUUUGUUAUUGUCUGAAAAGUGUUUUUCAGUUUUAUAUAAAAAUGACUCAUAUUUAAUUAUAAGCACCUUCAGUCUUUUUAGUCUCAUAAUUCUGUUCCCUGAUUCUUUACCAUGUGCAGCUCAUAGUGCUGCAGUGAGCUUUCACUGAUGCCAUAGCUAUAUUUCUUAAAAUUACACCAGUAAAAAUAAUCUUCUUUGGUAACAAACUGUGUAUUUUUUGCACUGGUUUUCAAGUCAAUACUCAUGCUAUUCUAAAAUGUAUUGUUAAUUUAUGUCUGAUAUCCCCCUCCUGCUGCCUUGCCUUUCCAUGGAUAAAGAUGAACAGGAGCUGGACUCUUGAAGAUUUGCAGUCAUUCUUUCAAGACUUAUUCCCAUGUUGCUGAGCCCCACCAAGGCCAAGCUGAGUCUCAUGCUAGCAUGAAUCAUCAACUGUAGUCUGGGAAACACAUAAUCUGUACACUAUGUCCCUAUCCUUGGGCAUAAGCUGCAAAAUUUAACUCUAAAAGUUGCUGAAAAGGUAGCUGGGUCUUUCACCAAAUCUGCUCAUUCAGACUCUGUACGUAUUGCUGAUGAACCUUGCUGUUGCGAUGGCAGAGGAUUCAAAGGAAACUGGCUUGUUAAUGGUUUAUUUGAAUCAAGAAAAGGAUAUUUUUGACCUGAAAUACUGUGCGUUACUUGUUCAACUGAUAAAAGAGGUUCCGUUGUAGCUACAAAUUAUCUAUUUUGUCCACAGUAAAAUAUAAACCACUUCUCUUGGAGGAAAAUACAGCACCAUAAAUAAUUAAAACUAUUCCAAUUGACUUUUUUGAUCAAUUUUAAUCUGAACUUAAAUCACAAUGGUCAGCUGUUUUAUUUAUUUUUUUAAUUACUGAUUAUUUAGAGAGAUUUCUCUAAGCAAUUACUAGUUAAUAUCCUUAAUAGCCAGUUUUACAUGUAGACCACUGCUAUGUUGCUUCUGGCCCUGCUUGAGAGAUAUAAUACACUCAGUAUCAGAUCACAUCCUGUAUGUCCCCAGUAUUAAAGAGAACAAAAUGAAAGUAAUAUGAAUUUCACUGAUAAGGACCACUUUUCCUAUGAUUAUAGUUCUAUCAAAAUGCACCAGCUAAUAUUAAACACAGCUUUACAUACCUUUGAAAUAAUGCAAUUAUAUAUGAGAAACCUUGCUUCUGCGGUUGAGACAACGAGAUCCGUCCCAUGAUCUUAUAGGGAGAAGUCCACUUUUUUGGAUCCAGAGAGGGUUUUUUCCUCUUCUUGGUAUUAUUGAAACUAUGUGAGACAACAGCCCUUUUUUUUCCUGGAGGCUUGCAGUUGUUCUGCCAGUGAUACUUGGGUUACAUAUUAAAUGACCUUGUGCAGGUUCCUGUUUUAUUGUAAUCAACCAUUUAGCAGCAGCUGGAUGGUAUAUUUAUGCUUCACAGUUAGCUGUUUUACUGACAUUAAAGAACUAUAGACCUUCUAUAUGCAUUAUUGUUUAUCAAACCAUGUUUGAAAAAAUGUGUCUACUGCUUUUUAUUGAUGGGAGUUUCUGGCUAACAGCACUUUAAAUAAGUGGAAAAUGCUCAGUUAUCACCCAAUGUGAACAGGAUCAAUAAUAGUUUAGUAGUGUCUGAUAAUUGCAGUGGCUGUUAUAUACAAGAGCUUGCAUCUUCUUGAGUGACUCUUAUCAAUCUAUUGUCCGCCAUCAUCUGAUAAUCAGACUGAAAAUAUAGUAGGGAAUUAUCCUUUUUUGAAUCUAGCUUGUGAAAAACAUUUGAAAUAAUGGUAAAAAAUUCUCAUUGUUCCACUCAGUGGGGAGAAAAAUUUAGUAUCUGGGUGACUAUGGUGAAAAAGGGACAAAAAAAAUCCAGUGUGCACUUGUUAAGUAGAAAAUUGUGUAUAGCACAAUUACAUGAGGGCAAAAUAUUUUUGCAAUAUUUGGAGAUGGUCUUAAAAUGUUUGCAGUUAUAUUCUGAAGGAGUCAUGACCCUCAGUUGCUCUCAGGACUAUGCUGGUGAUUAGAAGAGGAACCACAGGACAAGAUGGCAAGAAAGGUAUGCUAGAGUGCAGCAGAGUGCAGCUCUUGUUGCUUUGUUCCCAGGGGCAGCAGCAUCAUCCCUUCACAGCACAAGCAACCCAGUACUGUGACAGUGUGCGGCUUUUUGUGAUCCCUCCUGCUCUUGGAAGUAAUCGUGCUCUUGGACACAGAGUUCAUUUGCAAAGCCAGAAAUAUUCACCUCCCCUUCCCGUGGCUUUUUUUAAUACUCUAAUUAUCUGCUUCCUUAUGCUUCUCUCUUCAUUUGCCUUUCCCGGUUUUAAUUUAUAUUUUACCUUGUAACUUGCAAAAACACACACACACACACACAAAAAAAAAAAAAAAAAGCCUGACAACAUGCAGAAUUGCCAGGAAUCUGUCUGGGCACAGGUUUUCAUAUUGCUCUGCCCCAUUAGCUAAGAGAAUGCUUUGUCACUUUUUGCAUAUUUGUGCUAGGAAUUAAGAAAACUAACAAAUAAAUAAAGCAGUUAAAUUUUAUGUGUUUCUGUAGAUCAGGGGCUCUACAAGUAUGUUCUGUUACUAAAAGAACUUGAUGGUUGCUCUGCUGUCUACCAGCAUCAACAUCAUGUUUUCUUUGGGAUAAAUUUACAGCUUUGAUGUCUGUUUUAUCAGGCCACCUCCUUGGCAGACACAUAAGCUGGGGGUAGAAGCACAACCUUGCACUCUUGCUCCUUACUGUUAUACUUCUAAUUGCAAAUAGUAAAAAAAAAACAAACAAAAAAAACCCCCAAACAAACAAACAAAAAAAACCACAAAAAAGAAACAACCCAAAAAACCACCUAAUUCACAGGAAAUCAGAAAGUCUUAUAUUUUAACUUGUAAUUUCCCUCUUAAUUUACUAUUGUGCAUCUCUGAGAACAGGCUGCCUCCAUCUGCUCCAAGACCUCCCACUAGGGAGUUGUACAUAGUAAUAAGACCUUUACCUUUGUCAUCUUAAAGUCAAGCAAGCUGGCUCCUUUAGUAUCCCCUUGUACAUCAGGUGCUCCAGCCAACUGGCCAUUUUGGUGCCUCUGUGCUGGAAUUGCUCCUGUUAUGUCAAUGUCAUUCUUCUACCACUGAUGUGGUAGAACACUCACCUGUGCUGAGUAGAAGGGACAGAUCAGCUCCCUUGACCUGUGGGUUGUCCUCUUGCUUGUGCAACCCAAUAUUUAGUUGUUCUUCACUGCAAAGACUAACACCUCAAGUUCAAAUGAACAUGCUAUGUAUGAUGUGAGGGCAUAAAUUGUGUUCAAUUAUAUCUAGUCUUUGGCAGCAAGGUUGUGAUUUUUGAGAAUUUUUCAGAAGUAUUAUAUCAAGUCAUAUCCUAGACUACUGUAUUCAGAGUAUCUUAGUUUAGAACAUACUGAAUAAUUUUUGUAGAAAUCCUAAGUAAUAUAUAAGCCAAAAGCUUCAGUUACCCUGGUUAUACCGUCUUUAAUAAACUCUUUUGUCUACUUUUGAAUAAAAACUUGAUUUCUGCUAUAUGGCUUACGGUAUGAAAAUUUGAGUUAAAUACAGUAUUUUUGCACCUUGGCAUGCAAAUACCUUCUCUUCCUUUUAAUUUAUUUAAAAGGCAGUUUCAGACUUCAGUGUGGUCUGAUCUCCUGGGAAAUUCAGAAUACAAAGAAAUUACAACAACCUCAAUUCCCCAAGAAAGAACUUUUGACUGAGCAAAUAGGAAACUUAACCUCCCCUGUUUGACUCAGAAAGAUUCCAAACUGAUGAAUGUGGGUCUCUAUUCAGGUAGACAGCUUGGCUGCAUCCAGACCAGUUAAGUAACGGUUUUGCCUAGUCUUUUUAUCUUGUAAUGGAUUUUCCUCUAGUUCCUACUGAUUACAAUGAAAUUUCAUUUUUCCUCUGCAGCUUUGCCAUGGAAGGUGGGAGUAAGUUCCUUCUGGACCUAGUCUCUGUUCAUCCCAGAGCUGCAGUGCAAUAUUGAACUUACCUUCUCCCAUUUUUAAUCAAGGACUGCCAGUCUGUCUAAUGCAAGGCAUUGAACAAUCUGAGCAUGAAUAUGGGGUUUCAGCAGACCCAUACAACAAGCUGCCUUCAACCUCUAGGACCAGCCCUUUCUACCAUCUUUGUUGUCCAGUAUGUUGACAGCCUGAUCUCUGGUAUCCAGAAAGGCAAUGGAAGUGGUGCUCUUCUAUUUUAAAUCUGGAUAAGUGGGUGUCAAUUGUCAAUCUUACAACUGACCUCCAGGAUAAACACUAUAAUCUAAGAGCAUUGAAAGGUUUUCCAUUGUUCAUGUCCUUCACAGAACCUUCACUAAGCACAGAAUGGGUAGGUUGGAAGAGAUCUUAAAGAUCAUCUGGCUCUAACCCACCUGCCAUGCACAGGGAAAUGUUCCACAAAACCAGAUUGCUCAAAACCCAUCCAGCCUGGUCUUGUACAUCUCCAGAGAUGGGGCAUCUACAGCUUGUCUGGGGAACCUGUUCCAGUGUCUAAUCAUCUUCACAGUAAACAGUUACUUCCCAAUAUCUAAUUUGAACCUCCUCUCUCUCAGUUGGAAAUCAUGCCCCUUGUCUUAUCAUUGCCUUACAAUUCUCAUGCCCUUGUAAAGUGUCUCUCUCCAGCUUUAGGGCAGAAUAGGCUAUGAAAGUAACCCCAAGACCCCUCUGAGUUAAUAGUUUCCCUUUUAUGACAGGGUGCAGUUGACAAUAUAAAAAUGAAGCUAAACUAGAACUGGGUAAAGGUUUUUAUGCUAAAGGCCUAAAGGAAACAUAAAUAGUCUUAAGGAGCUAUUCCAGGUUUUAACAAUUUCAUGAAAGCGGUCAUGAAAGCAGUAAAUGGUAAUUUUACAAUUAUUACUUUUAGAAUAGGGAUUUCUCCCUGGCACUGGCACCUUUGUUUGCUUGUUUGUUUAGAAAUGGGAAGCUCCUUUAACAGAGGUGAUGCACAACAGGACACUGGCUGACAUCCAGAUAUGUUACAAUCAUAUAUUCUGUCUAUAAUUAAAAUUUUCUUUCAGAACUCAUAGUAUCCAGAAGAGGUUUUAGUGGAAGUUUCUUUAGGUAAGUUUAUAGAUGUUUAUCAGUAAACAAAAAUGCAUUCUAUUUAGGUGACUAAUCUUUUCAACAACUCUUAUGUCCAUUUUUAGAAUCUAAUCCCCUGAGAUAUAGCAUUAAUUUAUUUCACCUGGUCUAAGGUCUGGGGCAGGUUUUUUUUAGUUUUUCUUUGCUUUGUUUUUUGAAUUUGGGAAGCUAUGAAACUGCCCCUCAUGUUCUUUACAUGACUAUUAUUUAUCACUUAUUAAUGCUCCAUCAGCCCCUUUUUCCAGAGUUGUGGUGUGCACUGGAGCACUGCUCCCUUACUCAUGGCAUUUCUUACAGAAGAUAGAGUUGGAAUAUCUCUAUCCAGCUUUACUCCAAGUUGGUACUGAAGAUUGCCAUUUCUUAGGCACCGUUCACCAUCCAGCUUGACAUCCGCUGAGAGAGUUUCCUGCAGCUGCAGUUAAUAUUCUGGUUAAUUUAUUUAUUUAUAAUUCUGGCUGCUCAACAAAUGGCAAGAUCAGACAGAUUUGCUAUGGAGUCUCCCAGUAAAACACCAAUAUUAAGAAGUUAGAUGUGUCCUUGUGUGAGGUUUCACCAUAACUAAAGUACUGUGUAGCAUUUAGGGCUCACAGAAAACAUCACAGAAAUUUAAUUUUUUUGCAAGCAGACUCGUUCAGAGCAAAACUGGGUCUGGAUACAGCUUCUGUUACUUUUAGUUUUCAACUGAUUUGCAGCAGGGAGAAUGUGUAACUAUCUCAAACAACUAUAGGUUAAAAAAAUUCAAGGAAAACAUAUUCUGUUUUGUCACACAUAUUCCAUUGAUACAUGAAGUAAUAUACCUUUGUGAAGCAGGUGCAUACACUAAUGGGAGCUGUAACUGUUGAUUUCUCUGUUUCUGUCACCAUUAUAUUAUUACUUAAUCACAGCUUUUUGUGUCAAAUUUACCCAAGAGUAUUUUUAAUAGAAGCAUAAAAGAAAUUCAGUUCUGGGUAUGAAAAGAAAAGGAAUUGGGGUCCAGUCUCUUUAGCAAAUAUUCUAUAACAAGCUAAUUCUUUAAAGGCAUUUCACAUAGUUCUGAGAGAAUUAAACAAAUGCUUCAGGAUAAUUCUGGUCUUUCAGAUAAAUACACAGUUACAUAUGAUUUACAUUAGGUGAUGUUAGUUUACAUAUGAAGAUAGUUGAAGCAUUCCCAAGGAGUAAGAACAGAUCUGUAUAACUGAAGAGACUUUUACCAAGCCCAUGCUCCCCACCAUUAAACAAUAAACGAGAAAUAAUGUGUUAGAGCUUUUGUGAUAUGUUUGAGAGCCUUUCUUACAAAUUAUGAAUAAAGUUAACUGCUACUCAUUCUCAUGCAUGCUAUGAAGUUUUUGGACACCAAUAUAUCAAGGUUUUUCACAUGACAGCAUACUAGUAUAUGUAUAUAAUUAACAUUCACGAGACACAAAUAAAUAUAUCUAAGAACAAAUAGGUAAUUGAUUUUUUAAACUGAAGAGUUAAAAAAGUAAAUAGAAUCAUUAUUAAUACAUCGAGUUUUGGAUUUGUGAAAUAAAAAUUAGGAAUGUCCUAUUAAUGAAGUGUGGGAAGAAUUUUCUUGCUACAUCAUUUUUUUAAAUAAAGUUUUUAUUUGCAUAUAUCACAGAAUCAUUUAGGAUGAAAAAGACUUCAAUAUCAUUGAGUACAACCUUUUAUUGAUCAUUACCUCAUAAACUAGACCAUGGCACUAAGUGCCACAUCCAGUUGAUUCUUGAGCACUGCCAGGGAUGGCAACUCCACCACCUCCAUGGGCAGCCCAUUCCAAAGUUUAACACACCUUUCUGUGAAGAAAUUCUUGCUAAUAUCCAACCUGAACCGCCCCUGGUGCUACUUAAGACUAUGUCCUCUCAUCCUGUAAUUAGCUGCCUGGAAGAAGAGUCUGAGCCCCACCUGGCCACAAUCUUCUUUCAGGUGGUUGUAGAGGAUUGAUAAGGUCUCCUCAGAGCUGUCUUUUCUGUAGGAUAAACAACCCCAGCCCCCUAGAUAUGCUUAUUCCUGGCAUGCCUUAAUAUUAUUUAAGAUGCACAAAGAGCACAAAAGUGGUGGGAACAAUGGUAAGUUUGGGGUUUUUUCCUGAAAAGCAGCAUAGCAGAUAAAUGAAUGGACAAUAAUGAGUCUUUCCAAGCCAUUCCAAAAGCCUUUCUUCAAUGGAUUCACUCCUUUAAUAUGAGUGAAGAUGUACCAGGUGAAUAAAGGCUGUAGGAAUGACUCCCCUUUGACAGCAACAUGUCUAAGAGACCUCUCCCUCAGUGCUGCCAUAAUGAAAAUAUGUUUUCUUUUUGGCACAUCUAAUUACCUGUUUAUACUUUGCAAAUCAUUCUGAGAGAAUUUUUUUUCUUUAUGCUGGCACCAGGGACAUUUUCCUAAAAAUGUUUAAAACUGUGCAUCUGAUACAGAAUAUGGAUAUCAUUGUGAUACAAUCAAAAAUUAUGCUCUACAACAUGACAUGUAUCAGUACAUCAUAACUUGUGUUUAUAAUAUAGUCAACCACUCUACCUAGUCUUGACAGUUGAGGUUGCCACUUCUAUUUCAAAUGAGAGGCAAACCUGACAGAUGAGUUAGGAGCAAGCCUCUUAGCCACUUGCUUCCUGAACUUUGUAUUUGCAGAAAUAAAAGAUACAGGGCUGUUUGAAUUAAUGAGAUGUCCAGUCUAAAUGCAAUCACUAAAAUUAGAAGACAAACUAGGAAUCAUGUAUGAUAUAAUGGUCUUUUGUUUUUUCCCACUUGCUCUCCUGCACUGACUUGAAUGGUUUGUGUAAUGAAGGAUAAUUUUAUUUUUAUUAUUAGUAGCAGUUUAAAUAGAUAAAUGGUAUUCUCUGCUUAUUCAUGUAUUUUGUUUAUAGGAGAGUGAAACUUUCAGGGUUAAAGGUGGUCUAUGUCUUCAAUAUUUCUUGACCAGACAUAAAUAUGAAUAUAUGUGCAUUGCUGUAUGUAGGGUCCUCCUCUUUUAAGACAUCACAAUUUCUUAAUGAGAAGACCAGAAAACCCCCAGAAAAAUACAGGACCACCCAAUGAAGGUCUCAGAUUUUAAGAGAAGUGUAGUUUCAGAUUUUUUUCUACUUCUUUUGUUAUAACCACAUAUACCUGACACAGGUACAGUAUUGAUUUGCCUACUGGUGGUGAAGCUGUUUUUUUGUUCAUCUAGUGGUUGUGUUACCCUAAAGCUGCAUGCCAGUUCAUCAAAAUCAAUUCUCUUUUGAUUUUUGCAACAGCAGAGAUGGGUCAGCUAGCAAUUGACAAAGAGCCCUAUUCAUGACAAAGCGAUUGUUACGUUGCAAGUACAAUUUUGUAGGAACUUAACAAAAAAAGCGCAAGAACACUAUUUUACUGCAUCCUUUACUGUCUCACAUGAUUUCUCAGACCUCUCAAAUGUCCAUAAUGCAGUGUUCAGAUUAGGCUAGUCACCUUCUUAAAGACAAACACACUAGGCUCAAUAGAGUAUAUAUUUUAAAUAAAAAAAAAGUUCUUAAUUUAAAUGUAUUUCCUAAAAUUUUGCAAUAAAUCCAAAAACACCUUAACUGACCAAACAAAACUUACUCCACAUUACUCACAAUAUUAUCUUCUAUUUAUUUUAAUGACUUAGAACUAACUAUACAGGUGAGGGAGGAGACACUGAUUCACUGUCAACUGGUCGUAUCUUCUGUUGAGCAACUGCAAAUGCCCCUUGAAAGACUGGCUUGACUGACUGCAAAGCUCAGAGAGAAUCAAGAUCUGCUUGAUAAUUUUGCAGAGAUUUUUACCAGCUCAGUGCUGACAACUGACGCAAAUGUAUGAAUUAGAGGGAGGUAUGAAUUAACAUUUUCAGGAAACAAAAUUUUAAAGCUGACAUUUUUUCCUGAAUGAGAGUUUGUAUUUGAGCAAAACUGUGCUCACACAGACCAUAGAUGUCUCUCUUUGUAGACAUUUAUCAGAUGAAUGGCAAAUCUGCACAUAAAAAUCCAGUUUAAACACUUCAACUUAGACACAAACAAAUGCGAAAGUUUUCCAUGGAAUGGGCGUGUCCUUACUUGUAUCCAUAUGUAGAAUAUCCUGGGCAGUUUUAGCUCUGUUGCACUGCGGUAGUUAAAUUCAAAUUUGGAAAACUGAUGACUUACUGAUUGGAAGCUUUUGUUUUGGAGUAGCUUUUGGAUGCCACAGAGUUUAAAGAGUUGCCCUUGGGAUCUCUGUUUUCAAUAUCCUGGUGUAGUGUUUUAGGAAAGCAAGGAUUUAGCAAGCUGAUUGAGCUGGGUCCUUGUCUCUGAUGGUUAACUUUUGUCUCAAGCUGAGAUACUGUCACCUACUCGAUAACUAGUAGCUAACUAGUAGCACAAUUGUGCCUAAGACUGACAUGCUUGGAAGAGUUUUGUGCCUAGGAAGUUCUUUAAUCAAGUUUUCUUAGCUUUUUUCUCCAGCUGAGCUUUUUUCUUCAAAGAAUGAUCAAUAUUUAUUUAGCUGUAAUGUGGGACAGAAAAGCCUUUCUUGUUAUUGACUUGUCUGAGAGCAGUUUGUAGAUAUUGCCAGGCUGGUGAAGAAUACUUUUGGAAGUAUUGAAGGGGGAAGCAUACAGCUUCUGGUCAGAGGCAGCCUCCAGCUCUGUGGGCUGUUUUGCAAAGUCUUUUCCUUCUCAAUAUAGUCAAAGGGUUUCCAAGUGCAGAUCUAGCUCUCCCCAUCUGCACUGGUGGCCAAGACGUGUUUCUGGGACAUGUAACAUGAUGGGGGCUGUGGGACAUGCUGGCACUCUCAUUGAAAUUGGACUGCAUCUACCCCAAAUGUUCUCUAUCUCCAGAAGUCCAAAGAUAAGGCAACUAUUAGACCACUCUGGGCUUGUUCUUGUCAGGGUUUUUAAAAUGGCUGAAUAACUCAGAAGCAACUGCUGUUCCUCAGCCAAAGGGUAUAAAUAUACAAACAGUGACAGCAUUAUGUCUGUAUGGAUGUAUGAUUUGCAUUUAGAUUUAUGUAAACAGCUGUGGAAAUUUUGUUGGCACUCGGCUUUCAGUAGGUUACUGGUAUGGCUCAGGGAGUUGCAAAGUUUGAAAAAGACAUACUUUAGUUAGUUCCUUUAGUCACAGAAGUAACUCUUGUCUGCUUAGCCAAUAAAAUUGGUCACUAUUCAUUUUAAUUUUUUUUGCAAGAUGUUAAAAAAUUUCCCCCAGUAAGAUUCUCAAAUCUGUUUGGUUUUAGACCCAGUAGUAUCAAGCAUGCAUGUGGCUUUUUGUUGGUUUUGGUGGUUUUUUUUUUGGUUUUGUUUUUGUGUUUUUGUUUUUUUUUUUUUUUAACUUGUGCACCUGUGCAUAUUCUUGUGUGUUUUAGUUUAUAUGCACAGAAACAUCAAUUUACUGAUCUCUUCUUCAGAGGGAUUUGGUGUCAGUAUCUAGGACCAUUUAGGGACAACCUUUUCACAGCUCUUUAAGCACAGAAUAAAAAGCCUUAUUGAUUCUACUGAAACACAUAAGACAUGGCUAUUAUUAUUACAUAUCUAUUUAUCCUCUGGUGUUACAUUUGUCUUACAGACAACUCUCUUUAACUGAGGUGUUGUCCAGAUAUCUAGCAAAAAUCAUUGCUCCUGGAGAUGUGCUACUAUUUGUGCACUCUGCUUCAAUCUUGUUCCUGAUAUGAAUGGGAAUAUCACAUUAACUUCAUUUGCAACAGACUGAGCCUCCAAGGCUUGGUUGAAUAUAUAUUUUAAUGUUCCCUUGGGAAUUGUACAGCUUUGAUGUGCCUUUUCCUUAGGACUACUUUAAGGUCAUAAUAUCUACCAGUAUUUAAUCAGAGUUGAUGCAUUCCCAUUGACUACGAAAUAUUUUCUGAAAUGCUUAAUAACAUUUGUUUCUUCUCUGAUAAAAUGUCCAAGUGCCAUUCCUUUUCUCUGGCACACAAGUGAAUCAACUUGGGAUCUGCAUGGUGCAGAGGUUCUGGGAGUAUAUAAGGGCAUUUUUUUUUUUCUCCCAGCAGUCUCCUUCUGGGGAGUUUGUCGGUUUGCAAGCUAUAAUGAGUAGUAGGUUAAAAGAAAAAGGGCAUUUUAGUGGAGGAGGGAAUUAAAAUUCAGCAGCCUAAUAUCAGCAGUAGUUUAUAACAGGGCCUUAAAAGGCAGCUCUGUGUCUUUUAUUUUUGUGUGUGCACUUUUAUUUCCUUUGAUAUCAGCAGGGGAAUUUUCUCUGCAAGACCCAUUCCCAUCUCACUUUUCUGCUUUCAGAUCCCUGCUGCUCAGGGUUUUCUCCUUUCAUUUUGAUAUAUGUUAUAUUCUUCAACCUUCCCACUUGAAGAUUGUAGGAAGCUCGAUAUUGCCCUUAAAAUAGAGAACACAAUUGACGUCAAAACUUCUUCAAGGAGUGGCCCUGUUUUUCAUAUAUGUUGAAAAGAAUCCUUCCACUUUCUGGGAGGUCUUGGCAGUGGUUGAGGUGAAAUCUUCAAGACAUUUCACUAUGUCUAAUGAAAAUUGUACUAGAAAGGUUAACUUGCUGCUUGCAGUUUGAUUUCUACCAUAUCUUUAACAAGAAUGCAUUUGUGUGUUCUGUAAUUACACAAUAAUAAGACAAAAUUAUGGAUUUAUAUAUAUACAUCUAUCUCUAAUGCUGCUAUUGAUAUUUAAAAAUAUGUUGUAAUGAAUUGCUGCUCAGAUCUUUGCCUUCCAUGCAAUGUGACGAGCUCCCUAGUUUAAUUUUAAGUCAGUUCUUUUCUGUAUUUCCAAAGGCAGACUAAAAAAACAGUUAGGUAAUUCUGCAUAAGUGGGGAAUUUCUUUCUAGAUGCUGAUGAUAGUGUGAUUAACAGGUCACAAACAGAAAUGGGUUUGAACCUCCCAUGCCAAUUCCCUCAAACUAUUUACUGGCUCUUUUUGGCUUUUUGGUGACCCCAAGGCGGGCUGGGAAGCAGCAUGCCAGGGAGGAAUGUGGUUAUCCCACACAACAUCCAGCACUGGCCUCCGGUGCAUUUCUGGCUGCUACAAAUAGAUGGCACUUUUGACUUGUACUACAGCAAUUCAGUGAGAAGGAUGCAAUGCCUGAAAAAAACCCCACUUGCCGGGGUUUUUGUAAGUCAGGCACAUAUUUGUUAUUACUUAUAUGGGGGCAAAAGAAAUGAGGCAGAUUCAAAUAGACUGCCAUGUAUAUCUCAGGUAAUGAAAGCUUAAAAAUACAAAAAACUAAACAAUAGAAUUGGCAAAUCAAGUACAUUUAUAAUAUUUUCAGACUCCUCCUCUGGAUUUUCAGGGCAAGGUGGAAGAGAAUUAUCUUUUAAUACUGAGUUGCUUUAAAUGUGAACAAGGCAAUUGCCACAAAAGUCUCUUAUUUGCUGCUUCUCUGGUCUACACGUGUGCACACAGAGACACACAUACACACGGGGGAAAAAAUCAGCCUGUUGUCUUGCAAGUGUUACUUAUCAUAUUAAUUAAAAUCUGGUGACACGAUAACACCAGCAGCUGUGUGGGAAAGCGAGGGAAAUUAACAAACGUUUGAUUUGUUGUGUUGCUAAUGUGACACUUAUUAUACAGGUCACAGUAAAACAAUACCUCAGCCAAAAUAUGCUAAUACUGGUGGAGAACUGUUGCAGUUGUAAAAACAUUGAUGUUUAUUAUAAUGAGACAAAAUAGCACAUUACCUUUAGCAGAGUGAAUUGCUGCUUCUCAGGGUAAGCAUAAACUAUCUCUGAAGGUUUAAUAAUUAAAAAAAACCCAAAACCACAGAGACAGAAUAAAGUGAAAUUGUUAUACAUACAAAGCCAGUAAAAAGAAGACAACCUCAUGUAUGAAAAGGAUGUAAAGCUCUUAGAAAGCAAAAUAUGUAAUUUCUAGUGGACACAGAUUAAAUGGAGCAUGCCUACAGCUUCUUAAUUUAACAUUCCAAAGAACUUUAUUACAAGAACAAAAGAAAAUUGUUUCAUAAGAUACAAGUUAUGCUAUAAAAUACAUGUAGAACUGGAAAUGUAAUUACAUUUAAAAAUGGAUGUAUUAACUACUCUUUUUCCCCUGAGGAAAACUAAUAUGUAAACUUAUUUAUAAUGGUGGCUUAUAUCCAAUCAACCGAUUUGAUGACAUUUCUAAACAAAGACCUUUGGACUUUAAAUAAUUAUUCCCAUGCAGUUGUUGGAUCACAUAUAAUUGCUUGCUCUUUAGUGCUUCUUCACAAAUUUAAUUGCACUAUAGUCUGUAUAUGAAAGCAUUUUCUAUAUAUAGAUACAUAAAUAAAUUUACAGAAUUCAAUUCUGAAAUAGGAUAAAUUUUUUCCACAACUGAAGUAAAAUUAAGUCUAUGCAUUCAGCAUUUUGCAGCUAUUUACAUCUUAACAAGAAUAAUUUAAUUUUUACCUUUUCAAAGAUUUCUUUCAUUUUCAGGCUAUUUUCUCAAAUUUCAUACCAUAUUUUUGAACCCAAGGAAGGAUUUUUAUUUUUUUUUUCUUACUGUUGUUUUGAUCAUUUUACUGAAAUGGGGUGAAGUCAACCAUUUGUUUGACAGUCUUUGACAGCAGAUUAUGUAGAUUUUGCCAGACAGAACAGUAGUCAUUCGGAACUGAAUUCCGAGUGAGCAGUCUAGAUCAGAGGUCAGCCUGCGGGGUACAAAUGGGGAACAGAUAUUUCACCUUGCCAUAUGAAAGGACACAAAAAAGCAGAUAAAUCAGGAACUGGUGAGAACUAAAAGGUUAAAGCAGAGUUGAUGCAAUUACACAAUAUUUACAGCCUAAGAUUGUGCUAAAGUCCUUUUGAACCUCCUGCCCCUCCAGUUCAUGGAGGAAGAGGGCUCUGAUUUGGAAGCAUUCCCUGAAGAAGUGUAAGCACACUCUUUAAAGAUCUGCUCUGUGCCUAAAUGCUAAAAUAUAUCUGUCCUCACUUACAUUUCCCAUCAUUCACCUUGGUUUUAUUUUCAAAUGGGUAUCAAAGUACCUAUGUCCACAUGCCAGAAAAUAGUUCCCUAUCACUCCCCUUUUUCAGAAUAAUUCCAACAAUGGGGGGGAAGGGGGGGGGGAGAAGAAUGAAGAAAGCUAUCUAGGGCAACACUCAGGUAUAGAACCUGGGGAGAAGACAUUUUGACUUUUUAGAUGAAAAUUGCCAUGUUCAAAUAUGUAAUACUGAAAUAUUAUUAGAGGCAAAAAAAAAAUAUUAGAGGAAAAAACUCAAACAAACCCAGAACAGUGUUCUAUAUUUAUUCCUAACUGGACCAUGACAGAAAUUAAGCCGAUUUUCAAAUAUUUAAGCUCUCAACAAAUACUGUUUUUUUCCUUUUAGUGAUCACUAGUAACAAUUACAUAUACAAAACAAAACUUGCAUAAGCAUUUUAGUUACAUUUAAAAAGAUAAUAAAUACUAAAUCAAAAAGGUGGUUUGUUUUCAUUUUUUUACUUCUGAAUUACUUGGUGAUCACUUUCAGAGAAAAAUUACUGUAACAUUUCUUACUUAGCCUUAUCUAUGACAAUCAUUCUUUUAUUAAUGUUGCCCAAAAUAUAGAAAAAGACAAGGAAGAAGAGGUUAAAGAAAUUCCAGAAAGCUCUGGAGGGUUUUUUUGGAGAUUCAAGUUCUGAGGAUUUUUUUUUGGAGAAUCUGUAUAAAUUAGACGGAGCUUUAGUGAAAAUCUCCACCUUAUACAAGUAUGAAAGGAUGUCUCUACAUGUUCAGAGAGGUUAAGGAUAUCUGAAUCAGUAACAGAGAUGCCAAGAGAACAAUUUAAAUCUACUAAGUAACUAAAAUCCUAAAACCAUUACGUGGGGAAAAAAGAGAGAGAGAGAAAAAAGAAAACACUUAAGGCUGAUGAAAUAUCAAGGUUUAUUAUUCUAUUAGACUUUGACAAUGAAAUGAAAUACACAGACCUUUAACAAUGUUAUUAAAAUAAAAUUUCAAAGCUUGAUUUUUCAAUCAUGCAGUCAAAGAAAGGAAGACAUUUUACAGUCAUAUCCUGUAGAGUAUAGGAAAGUUCUCUGUCAAAGCUGUGUAACAUUUUGAUUAAGUGCUUGAUAGAUUAUAAAUAUAAGUCAGAGCUAGCAAGACACUGAAAUAAAUGGAUCGUCUAAGAAUGACUUGUGAUCAAUU